UGGUGUGAGGGUGAUCUAGCUGUGACAUGUCACCCCACUCAUCAGUGGAGAUGACUCAGCACAUCUGACUGCAUGGGAAGAUCCCACAGAGCAUCCUCCCUCACUGCCCCACAUGUUUCUCUUCCUAAGCUGCAUGUUCAUUUAAACAGGACAGCCUUCUUUACAAGAGAGUCAUCCUUCUGCUGAGAUAAUAGGAU
rnacentral:snRNA from 1 species